rnacentral:rRNA from 1 species
UACGGAGGGUGCGAGCGUUACCCGGAAUCACUGGGCGUAAAGGGCGCGUAGGCGGCUUUUCAAGUGACGGGUGAAAUCCCUCGGCUUAACCGAGGAACUGCCUGUCAGACUGGAAGGCUUGAGACCGGGAGAGGUGAGUGGAAUUCCCAGUGUAGCGGUGAAAUGCGUAGAUAUUGGGAGGAACACCAGUGGCGAAGGCGGCUCACUGGACCGGUUCUGACGCUGAGGCGCGAAAGCGUGGGGAGCAAACGGG